rnacentral:rRNA from 1 species
UACGGGGGGAGCAAGCGUUGUUCGGAUUUACUGGGCGUAAAGGGCGCGUAGGCGGUCAGCACAAGUCAGUUGUGAAAUCUCCGGGCUUAACUCGGAAAGGUCAACUGAUACUGUGCGACUAGAGUGCGGAAGGGGCAACUGGAAUUCUCGGUGUAGCGGUGAAAUGCGUAGAUAUCGAGAGGAACACCUGCGGCGAAGGCGGGUUGCUGGGCCGACACGUGACGCUGAUGCGCGAAAGCCAGGGGAGCGAACGGG